UACGUAGGUGGCAAGCGUUGUCCGGAUUUAUUGGGUUUAAAGGGUGCGUAGGCGGCUUUGUAAGUCAGUGGUGAAAUACGGUAGCUUAACUAUCGAGGUGCCAUUGAUACUGCAGAGCUUGAGUACAGAUGAGGUAGGCGGAAUUGACGGUGUAGCGGUGAAAUGCGCAGAUAUCAGGAGGAACACCGGUGGCGAAGGCGGAUCUCUGGGCCUGUCCUGACGCUGAGGCGCGAAAGCUAGGGGAGCGAACAGG
rnacentral:rRNA from 1 species